rnacentral:sRNA from 1 species
UCCGAUCACGAGGUGGGCGCCCACAGGC